GUUCAUUAACUAGAUGGAGGGAAUCCUUUUACAAUGUACAUGAAAUCACCAUAUGUAUACUUGAAAUAUCUUACAUUUUGGCAAUUAUACUUCAAUAAGGUUGAAAUUUUAAAAAAAAGUUGGGCGUAAAAACCACCUAUUCAUAUUUUGGUUAUGAUAUUUUUGCACUACCAUAUUCUGCCACUAUCCUUUUGCCAUUUACUAAAUCAAACUGGUAGCCUUGUUGAUUUUCUAUUUAACUUGUUCUUAUUUCUAGGAGCAAUUUUCACAUAGAUUCGCAUAUACACAUUUCUUAAAACAUACAUAAUUAAUGUUAGAAAAAAUGUAUUUAAGGUGGAUUAUGUUGGCUACCAAGGAGGUACUGUAAGAGGAGACAGACUCUGCCAUCUUCCAUUAAGCCAACCCAUUAUUUGACAUCUUAGUAACCUAUUUGGUCUCUG